rnacentral:misc_RNA from 1 species
GAUGAAGAACGUAGCGAAAUGCGAUACUUGGUGUGAAUUGCAGAAUCCCGUGAACCAUCGAGUCUUUGAACGCAAGUUGCGCCCGAAGCCAUUAGGCCGAGGGCACGCCUGCCUGGGCGUCACACGUCGUUGCCCCCCCAUCUACUCCUUCGGGAUUGCGGGGGGCGGAUGAUGGCCUCCCGUGCGCCUCGCCGCGCGGUUGGCAUAAAUGCCAAGUCCUCGGCGACGCACGCCACGACAAUCGGUGGUUGCGAAACCUCGGUUGCCCGUCGUGUGCGGUCGUCGCGCAUCGAGGGCUCGAAAAAAUUGCCGGGUUCCGGCUCGGCUUUCAACGCGACCCUAGGUCAGGCGGGGUUACCCGCUGAAUUUAAGCAUAUCAAUAAGCGGAGGA